rnacentral:rRNA from 2 species
AAACCAACCGGGAUUGCCUCAGUAACGGCGAGUGAAGCGGCAAAAGCUCAAAUUUGAAAUCUGGUACCUUCGGUGCCCGAGUUGUAAUUUGUAGAAGGUAACUUUGGGGCUGGUCCUUGUCUAUGUUCCUUGGAACAGGACGUCAUAGAGGGUGAGAAUCCCGUGUGGCGAGGAUCCCAGUUCUAUGUAAAGUGCUUUCGAAGAGUCGAGUUGUUUGGGAAUGCAGCUCUAAGUGGGUGGUAAAUUCCAUCUAAAGCUAAAUAUUGGCGAGAGACCGAUAGCGAACAAGUACAGUGAUGGAAAGAUGAAAAGAACUUUGAAAAGAGAGUGAAAAAGUACGUGAAAUUGUUGAAAGGGAAGGGCAUUUGAUCAGACACGGUGUUUUGCGCCCUCUGCUCCUCGUGGGUGGGGGAAUCUCGCAGCUCACUGGGCCAGCAUCAGUUUUGGCGGUAGGAUAAAUCUGCAGGAAUGUAGCUUGCUUCGGCAAGUGUUAUAGCCUGUUGAAAUACUGCCAGCCGGGACUGAGGACUGCGACUUUUAGUCAAGGAUGCUGGCAUAAUGGUUAUAUGCCGC